ACGGGUGCGGAACACGUACGCAACCUUCCUUCAAGCGGGAGAUAGCCCGGAGAAAUCCGGAUUAAUACCCCAUAGGAUUGUGGAUCGGCAUCGAUCAGCAAUUAAAGAUUUAUCACUUGAAGAUGGGCGUGCGUCUGAUUAGGUAGUUGGUGAGGUAACGGCUCACCAAGCCGACGAUCAGUAACUGGCGUGAGAGCGCGACCAGUCACACGGGCACUGAGACACGGGCCCGACUCCUACGGGAGGCAGCAGUAAGGAAUAUUGGUCAAUGGACGCAAGUCUGAACCAGCCAUGCCGCGUGGAGGAUGAAGGCCCUCUGGAUUGUAAACUUCUUUUAUCUGGGAAGAAAUGGUUGCUUUCUAGCGAUCUUGACGGUACCAGAUGAAUAAGCACCGGCUAACUCCGUGCCAGCAGCCGCGGUAAUACGGAGGGUGCAAGCGUUAUCCGGAUUCACUGGGUUUAAAGGGUGCGUAGGCGGAACAGAAAGUCCGUUGUGAAAUCUCCGAGCUUAACUCGGAAAUUGCGGUGGAUACUAUUGUUCUUGAAUACUGUUGAGGUUAGCGGAAUAUGUCAUGUAGCGGUGAA
rnacentral:rRNA from 1 species